rnacentral:tRNA from 15 species
GUUGGGAUAGCUCAGUUGGUAGAGCAGAGGACUG